rnacentral:rRNA from 1 species
UUUUGACCUCGGAUCAGGUAGGGAUACCCGCUGAACUUAAGCAUAUCAAUAAGCGGAGGAAAGGAAACCAACAGGGAUUGCCCUAGUAACGGCGAGUGAAGCGGCAACAGCUCAAAUUUGAAAUCUGGCUCUUUUAGAGUCUGAGUUGUAAUUUGCAGAGGGCGCUUUGGCUUUGGCAGCGGUCCAAGUUCCUUGGAACAGGACGUCACAGAGGGUGAGAAUCCCGUACGUGGUCGCUAGCUAUUGCCGUGUAAAGCCCCUUCGACGAGUCGAGUUGUUUGGGAAUGCAGCUCUAAAUGGGAGGUACAUUUCUUCUAAAGCUAAAUAUUGGCCAGAGACCGAUAGCGCACAAGUAGAGUGAUCGAAAGAUGAAAAGCACUUUGGAAAGAGAGUCAAACAGCACGUGUAAUUGUUGAAAGGGAAGCGCUUGCAGCCAGACUUGCUUGCAGUUGCUCAUCCGGGCUUUUGCCCGGUGCACUCUUCUGUAGGCAGGCCAGCAUCAGUUUGGGCGGUGGGAUAAAGGUCUCUGUCACGUACCUCUCUUCGGGGAGGCCUUAUAGGGGAGACGACAUACCACCAGCCUGGACUGAGGUCCGCGCAUCUGCUAGGAUGCUG